rnacentral:misc_RNA from 1 species
GUAGGUGAACCUGCGGAAGGAUCAUUACCGAGUUCUGGGUGCCUCGCGCCCGCUCUCCAACCCAAUGUUUACAUCACCUCUGUUGCUUUGGCGGGCCAGCCCGAAAGGGCGGCCGGCCCCCCUCACCGGGGGCUGGCCCGCGCCCGCCGGAGGAAACCUAAACCCUUGCUGUUUUUGGUUGCGGUCUGAGUGGAUAUUUAAUAUCAUAAAACUUUCAACAACGGAUCUCUUGGUUCUG